rnacentral:lncRNA from 1 species
AUGGGUCCCCCCCUGGCCCCGCGGCCCCCCCAAUACUACCCACAAAGCAGCAUCGAGAGCACAACUUCCUGUGACACAGAUCAUGAUGGAAGUCAGAGUGGGGAGGCUGCCUAUCCGCUCUCUACCUUCCGCAAUUCACGGAAAUACACCCCAGACAGGAGAGUCCCUAGCGCGGGUGUUUCUCAUAUGAGCCGAGUCACAGAGGAAGCAUGCAACCCUGUUGAGGACAUGGCCGAAGUGCAUGCUGGGUACUGUGGUUCUUCAUUAGUGGGCAGCAACCAGCCAAACAGAACAAGCUAUGCGGGCACAGCCAGUGUGGAUUCCUUUGACUCCUCCAGCACGUCCUCUGGUGAAUGCUAUGAGAACACAGAACGCACCCCUGCACGACCAGCCUCAGAAUCGCCGAUUUAUGACCAGACAGGUGACCACUUCCUGUUGCACAAAGGAAACCCUGCUGACGACCACAGAGGCCUGACCUCAAUGACACACGGGGUGAGGGCAGGAGGCCACUCCAGUGGAGAAGACUCCCCCAUCUACUCCCCCGUGAGCUUGGAGCCCCCAGAAGAACAGGAGAUGUCAUCAGACGGUGACUAUGACGACGUGGUCAGCUACCUGCAGUGAUGGGUAGUCUUUAGACUGUUACUAUGACGACGUGUUCAAUUACCUGCAAUUGCCUGGACCAAAGAUGGGAUUCACAACAGUCACAACAAUCGCACAGCAAACACAAACACAUUUCAUGCUUUACUCACACCAUAGGUUCUGUAGUGGAUUUAAAGGUUAUGCAAGAUGAUUUAAAGGUUAUGCAAGAUGCUGAAGGUUGCAGGUCGGUAAUCUGUGUGAUGAAAUGAAUAAUCAUCAGACAAAUCAGAUAAUAAUAAUCAAUAAUCAUGUUCAAUUUGGAGAUGACAAGAUGGGUCAGCCUUUACAUUUCUAUUCAGUAAUGUGCCACUGUUUGUAUGCUCAAACUCACUCACAAAAUAUGACUUCAAUUUGUACUUUGAAAAUGUAAAUAAUCUUCUUUAAAAUAAAAACAGACUCUUUUUUUAGACUUUUUUUGUA